GACGAACGCUGGCGGCGUGCUUAACACAUGCAAGUCGAACGGUGAAGCGCCUUCCUUUUUGGUGGGUGUGGAUGAGUGGCGAACGGGUGAGUAGCACGUGAGUAACCUGCCCCCUUCUUCUGGAUAACCGCAUGAAAGUGUGGCUAAUACGGGAUAUUCUGGGUCUGUCGCAUGAUGGGUCUGGGAAAGAUAUUGUUUCGGUGGGGGAUGGGCUCGCGGCCUAUCAGCUUGUUGGUGGGGUGAUGGCCUACCAAGGCGGUGACGGGUAGCCGGCCUGAGAGGGUGGACGGUCGCACUGGGACUGAGACACGGCCCAGACUCCUACGGGGGGCAGCAGUGGGGAAUAUUGCACAAUGGGCGCAAGCCUGAUGCAGCGACGCCGCGUGAGGGAUGGAGGCCUUCGGGUUGUGAACCUCUUUCGCCAGUGAAGCAGGCCUGCCUCGUUUGUGGGUGGGUUGACGGUAGCUGGAUAAGAAGCGCCGGCUAACUACGUG
rnacentral:rRNA from 1 species